GCUUUCGUGGUGUAAUGGUAGCACACUGGGUACGUAUUCGAGAGGUCCAAGUUCGAAUCCUGGCGAGGGCG
rnacentral:tRNA from 1 species